rnacentral:lncRNA from 1 species
UUUUUGCCCAAUAGAGCCCUGCUCUACUGACCCUUCAAUGUGCCCGUGUGCCUAAAUAUUCCUGGUCGUGUGAAAAGAACCCAGGUAUUAGCUGAACUAAGGAGCACAAUUCUGCAACAUUUUGGCACCCAAACACGGGGCUUGAGAAAUGAAUGCAAUUGGAGAAACUGGUUGUUUUACCAGGCGUUGAUUGGAAAUGUGUGCUUCCCUUUAAGCAGUCAAGCUCAACUUGCAGAACUGAUGGGAACCCCUUGGGAAAACUGGCCUCAAAUGUUUGUCUACACAGUCCACAUACAGGGUUCUUAACCUGCGUGGACUGGAGCCCAAAAUGCACACUGGAGGAAGUGGAUGGAGCCACGUGGAUGUCAUGCCUUAUGCAGGGGAGGAGCCUGCUCUCUUCAGCUCCUGUGGUAAUGUGGGAAUCGAUCUGUGAGAUGGAGUCUUGUUCUGUGGUCCAGGCUAGAGGGCAGUGGCAUGAUCUCGGCUCACUACAAGCUCUGCCUCCCGGGUUCACGCCAUUCUCCUGCCUCAGCCUCCUGAGUAGCUGGGACUACAGGCGCCCGCCACCACGCCUGGCUAAUUUUUUGUAUAUUUACUAGAGAUGGCUAGUGUUAGCCAAGAUGGUCUCGAUCUCCUGACCUCGUGAUCUGCCCACCUCAGCCUGCCAAAGUGCUGGGAUUACUGGCGUGAGCCACCGUGCCUGGCCAGCAUCCUCUAAUUAUUAUUCAUAGUUUGUGAAUUUAGGCCUACGUGAAUAAUAAUAUAAUAUUUACUAUGAUGUUACUAUCUACCAACCUUAUUUUUCUUUUCUAUAAAAUAGGAGCCAAAAUAAUAUUUAUGUCAUACCUUAUGAAGUUAAAAUAAAAUAUAACGAAUGAGGGGCUUAA